GUCAAGGCUGCCUCUCCGCCGUCCAGGGCCAAGGGCGCUGAAGCAUCUUGGGGAAGUUUAGUCUCCCUCUUAAACACAACAUUGAUGAACCGGCGCAGACCGUGACGGCAGUGAAAAGCGUAAAUCAGUUCAUCAGAUCAGCAGUGAGACCAGUGAUGGCAAUAAAGGAAAAGCCGCUUAUCAGAACGGCGGCGUAGCAACAGCGGUGAACACUAUCCUGUGCUUCUGUGCAACAAGUGACAGCAUGCACGCCGAGGACGCCCAUCAGCAUCAUGGCUUGGACGCCCAUCACCGCCCACCACGGGACGCCGGGGAAGCUGCCCAGAAAGAGGGGAAGUUGCUGUGGAACGGCAGCAGAAGGUGGUUCUCGGAGUGCAUGAAGGCAAAGACGUGAGCGCCCGUGACCAACAGCAUGACGAAGAGCUUGGUGAGGGCGCCGAUGCGGGGGAAGACAGCCGCCACGCCGAUGGAGAUC